rnacentral:miRNA from 1 species
ACAAAAUUAAUAAAUGCAUAUAUU